UUGUUGAUGUAGCGGGGUGGCGCGAUGCCACACCAUGUGUCCUAAAGGCAUCGUCCACAUGACGGACGCCUACGUGCAUCCUUCUCCGCAACCUAUAGCCUAACCUGCCUGCCCUUUCCCCUGUUGACACCUUGCGUAUCUCUCCGCUGUCGCAGCCAACAGUUUCCACGUACAAAUCCGCCUCCGCCGAUUAACCAUGUGUUGCUUUUCGCAUGCUUCACAAAGAAAUUGAAAAGAGGACGGCGAACGUAUCGUUACGGUGGUGGUAGCGGUGCGGAUAGAGGUGGAAGACUGUGGUAUUUGUGCUAAACGCACUCAAAGGGUUUACCGCCGUGUUUGAACCUCAAUUUCUUUCUCUAUUGUGUGUACGUCCGGAUUUAACUUUGCACAAUUCAGUUUAGGAAUGGGUAGGAACUAGGAAGAAGUCAGAGAACUUCGCAGUCGGAGAUGGUGACGGUCUGUGAUCUCUACAGCGGUGAUGGUAACCCCAAAACAGUCGUUCUAACGGCGAUAGUUGGGGUUAUGAAGGAAGACGGUAGCAGCAGUAUAGGGGCUGUAGCCGUGGUGACAGUCUAGGGUUUAAGAUGGGUCUCUUGGAGAUAUGUUACAUUUCCAUUAGUUUUGCAAUGGCGGUCUUUUUAUCGACAUAGGACAAGGUGAGCGGAUUCUCUGAUUUUGAUUAUUAACAAAACUUCACACUUAAUUGAUGCGGAAAAGUAGCAGUUUGCUAUAGUGAUGAUGACGGUUAACUGCUUGUAUAUUUUUGGAUUAAAGUUUAAAAGUUGGCCGACGAUGAAUAAGUAAAAGCAGGAAUAACAGCAGUGUACAAUUUAAUAUGGUUUUAAUCUACGUACCACUUCCAUAAUCAGAUAUUGUAACAAUUUUAACAUAAGUGAACUAAAUUCCAAAUUAAAGAUCAUUAAAUAUUGUCUUAUUUAGAAGACCUCUUAUAUUGUAACAGUUUUAACAUAAGUGAAGUGAACUCUAAAUUAAAGAUCAUUAAAUA